rnacentral:rRNA from 1 species
UACGAAGGGAGCUAGCGUUGUUCGGAAUCACUGGGCGUAAAGCGCACGUAGGCGGCUUGUUAAGUCAGGGGUGAAAUCCUGGAGCUCAACUCCAGAACUGCCUUUGAUACUGGCGAGCUUGAGUCCGGGAGAGGUAAGUGGAACUGCGAGUGUAGAGGUGAAAUUCGUAGAUAUUCGCAAGAACACCAGUGGCGAAGGCGGCUCACUGGCCCGGUACUGACGCUGAGGUGCGAAAGCGUGGGGAGCAAACAGG